GAAAGUAGACAAGGGCGCAUGGCGGAUGCCUUGGCUCAUGGAGGCGAUGAAGGACGUGAUAAGCUGCGAUAAGCUUCGGGUAGGUGCAAAUAACCUUUGAUCCGGAGAUUUCCGAAUGGGACAACCCAGCUGCCACAAGGCAGUUAUCACUGUUAAUCAGUGAGGCGAACGGAGGGAACUGAAACAUCUUAGUACCUCCAGGAAGAGAAAAUAAAUGAAUGAUUCCCCCAGUAGUGGCGAGCGAACGGGGAAGAGCCCAAACCGUCGCCGUAGCAAUGCGGCGCCGGGGUUGUAGGACCGUGUCAUUGUACCUGGAAUGUGAGUGGAACGUUAAUGGAAAUUGCGGCCACAGCGGGUGACAGCCCCUUACACGAAGUAUUCCCGGGCAUAAUGGUAUCCUGAGUAACGCGGAGCACGAGAAAUUCUGCGCGAAUCUGCCGGGACCAUCCGGUAAGGCUAAAUACUCCCAUGAGACCGAUAGUGAACCAGUACCGUGAGGGAAAGGUGAAAAGCACCUCGACGAGAGGAGUGAAACAGAUCCUGAAACCAUGCGCCUACAAGCGGUCGGAGCUGCCUUUGGCAGUGACGGCGUGCCUUUUGCAUAAUGAACCUACGAGUUACCAUCUCUGGCGAGGUUAAGUGGCAUGAUCCACGCAACCGCAGUGAAAGCGAGGCUGAACAGGCCGUCUAGUAGCGUUGAAAAGCUUCUGGAUGAGGUGUGUGUAGGAGUGAAAGGCCAAUCAAACUUGGAGAUAGCUCGUACUCCCCGAAAGGCAUUUAGGUGCCGCGUGGGGUGAUCUGCAUGAGAGGUAGAGCGACCGAUAGGUCAAGAGGGCUUCACCGCCUAUCGCGACCUGACGAACUCCGAAUGCUCAUGCACUGCAGCCCUGCAGUAAGGGGGCGGGUGCUAAGGUCCGUCCCCGAGAGGAGAAGAAUCCAGACCGCCAUCUAAGGUCCCGAAGUUCUGCCUGAGUUAGUCUAACGAAGUCCGGUCCCCGUGACAGCUAGGAUGUUGGCUUGGAAGCAGCCAUUCAUUCAAAGAGUGCGUAACAGCUCACUAGUCGAGGGUCCGGGCGUGGAUAAUAAUCGGGUAUAAGGCAGGCACCGAAGGUGCGGGAUAGUAAUGUAUAUUAAAAGUAUCGGUAGGGGAGCAUUCCAUGUGCGUCGAAUGUUGGGGGACGACCCUGGCUGGAGCGCAUGGAAAAGCAAAUGUAGGUAUAAGUAACGAUAAGGAGGGUGAGAUUCCCUCCCGCCGCAAGACCAAGGUUUCCCGGGCAAUGCCAAUCAGCCCGGGGUCAGUCGGGUCCUAAGCCUCAGCCGAAUGGCGAGGGCGAUGGCAGACACGGUUAAUAUUCCGUGACUGCUGCAUGAUGCGAUUGCGGAGACGGAGAAGUGACACCGCCGCGGGCUGACGGAAUAGCCCGUUGAAGAGAUUAGGCGCUGAUCAUGGCAGGCAAAUCCACCAUGAGAGCUGAAUCUUGAAAGUAUGCCCAUCCCCUCGGGGAAGAGCAAUAGUGUGGGUAAUCAUGCUCCCGAGAAAAUCCGCUAAGCUCCAGUCAUGCAGCACCCGUACCGCAAACGGACACACGUAGUCGGGUUGAACAUACUAAGGCGUUGAGAGAUUCAUGGUUAAGGAACUAGGCAAAUUAACCCCGUAACUUCGGGAGAAGGGGUCCUCGUCAUGUUGACGAGGCGCAGAGAAUAGGUCCAGGCAACUGUUUAACAAAAACACAGGGCUGUGCUAACACGAAAGUUGAUGUAUACAGUCUGACACCUGCCCGGUGCCGGAAGGUUAAGAGGAGAGGUCAUACGUAAGUAGAAGCCUUGAAUUGAAGCCCCGGUAAACGGCGGCCGUAACUAUAACGGUCCUAAGGUAGCGAAAUUCCUUGUCGGGUAAGUUCCGACCUGCACGAAUG
rnacentral:rRNA from 1 species